UACAGAGGUCCCAAGGCGUUGUUCGGAUUCAUUGGGCGUAAAGGGUGCGUAGGCGGCGCGGUAAGUCGGGUGUGAAAUCUCGGAGCUUAACUCCGAAACUGCAUUCGAUACUGCCGUGCUUGAGGACUGGAGAGGAGACUGGAAUUUACGGUGUAGCGGUGAAAUGCGUAGAUAUCGUAAGGAAGACCAGUGGCGAGGCGGGUCUCUGGACAGUUCCUGACGCUG
rnacentral:rRNA from 1 species